UACGUAGGGGGCUAGCGUUGUCCGGAUUUAUUGGGCGUAAAGAGCGUGUAGGCGGCCAGGUAGGUCUGGUGUGAAAACUCGAGGCUUAACCUCGAGAUGUCAUCGGAAACCAUCUGGCUAGAGUCCGGAAGAGGAGAGUGGAAUUCCUGGUGUAGCGGUGAAAUGCGCAGAUAUCAGAAAGAACACCAAUGGCGAAAGCAGCUCUCUGGGACGGUACUGACGCUGAGACGCGAAAGCGUGGGGAGCGAACAGG
rnacentral:rRNA from 1 species